rnacentral:lncRNA from 1 species
AUGGCCUGCCCGGGGCUGUCAGGCAGCUUGCUGGGGCUCACCUUGCCGCUGCCCAGCCCGCUGCAGGGGUCCCUGGGGGUGGAGCUGGCAAUGGACGGGCUCUCAAAGCUGCCCAGGGAGCUCACGGAGCUCCAGCGGCUCAGCACCAGCGGUGUCUCCUGCACACAGCUGGAUGGCGUGACAUCCUCCAAGGUCAGGCCCCGGCCCGCGCCACGCCCGGUCCAGCUCCGCCUCUUCGGGGCCGGCCUCCUCCAGGCCCUCGAGGGAGGAGUUGCUGUCCAAGUCUCCGGCCUCGCUGGGGCCUGGGCAUCCGGUCGAGGACAGCGAGCUGCAGUGGGACAGCGAGAUGGGCCCCUCCUGCGCCACCAGCCUCUGCAGCGCCCUGCUGGCCGCAGCUGUCCGGGUGGCCCCCAGCUUCUCGGGCACCUGGCUCAGGCCCUCCACCAGCAGCCAGGCCUGCUUCCGAGCCGUGGGGGCUGCCUUGGGGCCGCAGGGGGCCCCCGCGCCUGCCCUGCCCGCGGCCUCCAGCAGUGGCACAUGCUGAUAGGUGGGCGACAGCUUGAUGGUGCGCACGCAGGCGCCGGCGCCGGCGGCGUCCCGGGUGGGCCCCUGGGCCUGGCCGCCCCGCAGGUCGAGGUCGAGCCCAGCGGGCCGCGGCUGCCCGCCCAGGAGCUCCUCGCGGUGCUUGGCCAGCGCGGCCAGCGGGCAGGGCCGCUUGUGCUCCCGCGGUCAGUAGCCGUCACUGGUGCUGCCGCUAUUGAGGCUGUCGUUGGAGAGGCUGGUGUGGGCCGCUUUGAGCCAGAGCAGUGGGUGCGCCCGGCCCAGGUGCCGGGCCGAGCUCCAUCUCCAGCGCCCACUGCUUGCGCACGUAGAGGCUGGGCACGCAAGUGCGGGGGGGACACGACCGUGGCGGCCGCCUGGUGCUUGGCGGGCCGGUGGGCCAGCAGGUUGCGCAGCAUGCCCACGGUGCCCAGGUCCCACACCAGCUCCUGGUCCCGCGCGCUGCGGGCGGACAGUUUCCAGAGCGUGCCGCACGCGUUGCUCACGAUGGUCAGGCUGUGCGAGGUCAGGUGCUGCAGCAGCGUCUGCAGGCAGUUUGUGGUCGCGGAGCACCUGCCUGGGUGGGGGAAGUGGGGGCGGGGUCAGGUGUGA